rnacentral:rRNA from 1 species
CAGUUAGUUGGCGGGGUAAUGGCCCACCAAGACUGUGAUCGGUAUCCGGCCUGAGAGGGCGCACGGACACACUGGAACUGAAACACGGUCCAGACUCCUACGGGAGGCAGCAGUGGGGAAUUUUGCGCAAUGGGGGAAACCCUGACGCAGCAACGCCGCGUGGAGGAUGAAGUACUUCGGUACGUAAACUCCUUUCGAUCGGGACGAUAAUGACGGUACCGAGAGAAGAAGCCCCGGCUAACUUCGUGCCAGCAGCCGCGGUAAUACGAGGGGGGCGAGCGUUGUUCGGAAUUAUUGGGCGUAAAGGGUGCGUAGGCGGUUUGGUAAGUCUUGUGUGAAAUCUAUGGGCUCAACUCAUAGUCUGCACGAGAAACUGCCGGGCUUGAGUAUGGGAGAGGUGAGUGGAAUUCCUGGUGUAGCGGUGAAAUGCGUAGAUAUCAGGAGGAACACCUGUGGCGAAAGCGGCUCACUGGACCAUAACUGACGCUGAUGCACGAAAGCUAGGGGAGCAAACAGGAUUAGAUACCCUGGUAGUCCUAGCCCUAAACGAUGAUUGCUUGGUGUGACGGGUACCCAAUCCCGCCGUGCCGUAGCUAACGCGUUAAGCAAUCCGCCUGGGGAGUACGGUCGCAAGGCU